UGGGGAAUUUUGGACAAUGGGCGAAAGCCUGAUCCAGCAAUGCCGCGUGUGUGAAGAAGGCCUUCGGGUUGUAAAGCACUUUUGUCCGGAAAGAAAUCCUUGGCUCUAAUACAGUCGGGGGAUGACGGUACCGGAAGAAUAAGCACCGGCUAACUACGUGCCAGCAGCCGCGGUAAUACGUAGGGUGCAAGCGUUAAUCGGAAUUACUGGGCGUAAAGCGUGCGCAGGCGGUUUGCUAAGACCGAUGUGAAAUCCCCGGGCUCAACCUGGGAACUGCAUUGGUGACUGGCAGGCUAGAGUAUGGCAGAGGGGGGUAGAAUUCCACGUGUAGCAGUGAAAUGCGUAGAGAUGUGGAGGAAUACCGAUGGCGAAGGCAGCCCCCUGGGCCAAUACUGACGCUCAUGCACGAAAGCGUGGGGAGCAAACAGGAUUAGAUACCCUGGUAGUCCACGCCCUAAACGAUGUCAACUAGUUGUUGGGGAUUCAUUUCCUUAGUAACGUAGCUAACACGUGAAGUUGACCGCCUGGGGAGUACGGUCGCAAGAUUAAAACUCAAAUGAAUUGACGGGGUCAUAGCUGUUUCCU
rnacentral:rRNA from 1 species